UACGGAGGGCGCGAGCGUUGUCCGGAAUCGCUGGGCGUAAAGGGCGCGUAGGCGGCCCUGGUAAGUCUGCGGUGAAAGCCCGGGGCUCAACCCCGGGUCGGCCGCGGGUACUGCCGGGCUGGAGUGCCGUAGGGGCAGGCGGAAUUCCGGGUGUAGCGGUGGAAUGCGUAGAGAUCCGGAAGAACACCGGUGGCGAAGGCGGCCUGCUGGGCAGUAGCUGACGCUGAGGCGCGACAGCGUGGGGAGCAAACAGG
rnacentral:rRNA from 1 species